rnacentral:rRNA from 1 species
CUACGGGGCGCUGCAGUGAGGAAUUUUGCGCAAUGGGGGAAACCCUGACGCAGCAACGCCGCGUGAGCGAAGAAGGCCCUCGGGUCGUAAAGCUCUGUCAAGUGGGAAAAAAAUUUUUUGAUCAAUAGUCAAAAGACUUGAUGGUACCACUGGAGGAAGCACCGGCUAACUCCGUGCCAGCAGCCGCGGUAAUACGAGAGGGUGCGAGCGUUGUUCGGAUUUACUGGGCGUAAAGAGCGUGUAGGCGGUUUAGCAAGUCAGAUGUGAAAGCCCUGGGCUCAACCCGGGAAGUGCAUUUGAAACUGCUUCACUAGAGUAUGGGAGAGGAGAUUGGAAUUCCUGGUGUAGAGGUGAAAUUCGUAGAUAUCAGGAGGAACACCCGUGGCGAAGGCGAUUCUCUGGACCAAUACUGACGCUGAGACGCGAAAGCGUGGGGAGCAAACAGGAUUAGAUACCCCCGUAGUC